rnacentral:rRNA from 1 species
UGAAGUCGUAACAAGGUAACCGUAGGGGAAACUGCGGUUGGAUCGCCUCCUUACCAUAAAGAAGC